rnacentral:rRNA from 2 species
AGGCAGCAGUAGGGAAUAUUCCACAAUGAGCGAAAGCUUGAUGGAGCGACACAGCGUGCACGAUGAAGGUCUUCGGAUUGUAAAGUGCUGUUAUAAGGGAAGAACAUUUGCAAUAGGAACUGAUUCGCAGACUGACGGUACCUUGUCAGAAAGCGAUGGCUAACUAUGUGCCAGCAGCCGCGGUAAUACAUAGGUCGCAAGCGUUAUCCGGAAUUAUUGGGCGUAAAGCGUUCGUAGGCUGUUUGUUAAGUCUGGAGUUAAAUCCCGGGGCUCAACCCCGGCUCGCUUUGGAUACUAGCAAACUAGAGUUAGAUAGAGGUAAGCUGGAAUUCCAUGUGAAGCGGUGAAAUGCGUAGAUAUAUGGAAGAACACCAAAGGCGAAGGCAGCUUACUGGGUCUAUACUGACGCUGAGGGACGAAAGCGUGGGGAGCAAACAGGAUUAGAUACCCUGGUAGUCCACGCCGUAAACGAUGAUCAUUAGUCGGUGGAGAAUCACUGACGCAGCUAACGCAUUAAAUGAUCCGCCUGAGUAGUAUGCUCGCAAGAGUGAAACUUAAAGGAAUUUGACGGGGACCCGCACAAGCGGUGGAGCAUGUGGUUUAAUUUGAAGAUACACGGAAAACCUUACCCACUCUUGACAUCCUUCGCAAAGCUAUAGAGAUAUAGUGGAGGUUAUCGGAGUGACAGAUGGUGCAUGGUUGUCGUCAGCUCGUGUCGUGAGAUGUUUGGUCAAGUCCUGCAACGAGCGCAACCCCUAUCUUUAGUUACUAACAUUAAGUUGAGGACUCUAGAGAUACUGCCUG